CCUCCGACUCCGGCUAGAUCCAGUGCUUUUCUGCGCCGCCGCUCAACAGCCCAUUCCCCCUUACUGCUUUUCUCUGUUCCUGUGCCGCGGCGAGUUCCUCCGUGCCGCCGCUCAACCUCCUGGCUCCGCCUUACUGCUCUCCUCCAAUCCCCAGCCGUCGCGACGUCCUCCACUCCCCCGCUGACCCGCUCAUGGGCUCGGGAACCCCUCGUCGCUCCUCUGAUCCAUUGCCGUGGCGACGUCAUCCACGCCCCUGCACGCGCCCCCUCAGGAACCCUAGCCGCCAUGGUUUGCUAGCGCAGCUCCCACGUCUCCUCUCGUUUGUCUGCCCAUUACCCCGCGUAUCCGCGCGCGUGGCUGCCGGCUCGGGCUCGACCGUGCUGUUCCACAUCGAGUCCUCGACUACCUCGACCGAUGGCAGACGGUUCAGCAAGGCCUUCCUCCUUCUAAUAAUGUUUGCACAAUGUCGAGAUAAUGGGAUCUGUCCCGGAUCAAAAAUUGAUUUUGAAGCAGCAUACAUCAUUUGGACUUAUUGAUGGAUUCUUUCAUUUUCUGCUAGAUUUAUUCAGCAUAAUUUUGACAAAUUUACCCUGUUUCCUAAAGAUUAUAACACAGUAAGUUCCAUGUAGGAAGUUCAAAUACCAAUGGAUUUAUCUGCUGCAGAGACAACAACGCUUCUGUUGUCACAGGCUCAAAAUUACUGCGUGUUCUGAAGUUGACUACGUGCUUCAGCCAACAUGUGUUUGUUUGUUCUUUCUCUUAACAGGUAUAUCUACUAGACUUGUGCAUACUGCGAUUAGGAGAUAUAAAAAUCAACACUUAUAUAUUAAGAGGCCCUAAAAAGAAUUUGAAGCCUCUGGAAAAUUUAAAUAUUGAACUAUGUAUGUAUAAUCAAGAUUAUUGGUUACCUAUUAUCAUUCAGUUGGUUCCAGAAUUCAUAUCAUUGUUAAUAUAUAUAAUGUUUGGAUAAUCAUUACUGUAGUAAAUACAUGCUGAUGGUUCAAAAUGAAUAGCCCCAUCCAGUUGUUCAAACAUCUCAGGGUGCGUUUGGGAACCAAGUAUUUCUAAAGUUUUUUAGAAAUACUGUGGUUUCUGAGAAAACUUCAGUAUUAAAUACUUUGAGGUGUUUGGACAGAAAAAAUACUACAGCCUAACAAACCAUUUUUUCUCGAAUAUGCACGAGUGUGCAUAUCAUAUAUUAAAGAAGGAAAGGCAUAGAAAGCCUCAACCAGUCAUUUACAAAGGUGAGAACGUUACACCAUGCACAACUCCACCUCACGCACGAUCGCGCACGCUAACUAGACUACUACUCCCCACUCGUCCACCUAGCUAAGCCUGCAAAUACAGCCUCUACAUUACCUCAGAAGAGCCCUGCCAUCGACCAGCUCCUACCCUCGUUCACAAUUCUCUUGAUAAGUUGGUUAGCUGAUGGCGAAGCACCAUCGAAGACAAUUGCGUUUCUGUGCUUCCACAACUCCCACAACGUGAGAAGCAGUAUAGCGUGCAGAUCCUUCCUUGCCACAUUGGCAGCCGGUUGCUUGUCACAAACCCACGGCUUAAGAGCAUCCUGCGUAGAUGGUGCCCACUCUGGCUUUCCCAGAGCCGUACAAAUCGCCACCCAAAUCUCUCGAGCGAAGACGCAUGUUAGCAACACAUGAUCAAUGGUUUCCUCCUCUUGGUCACACAAAGGGCAUUUGUCCUGAUGCGGCAGCCCCCUCCUAGCUAGCCGGUCCGACAUCCAACAUCUGUUCCGCAGGGCCAGCCACGUGAAGAAUUUGCAUUGAGACGGGGCUCGCGAUUUCCACAUUAACUCCGCGGAGGGAAUGACCUCCCUUCCCCAGAACUUCGCUGCGUACGGAGAUCUGACAGAGAAUUGUCCCGUCGGCUCCCAAGACCAAACUAUCCUGUCCGGGACACUCUCCACCGGUUCCCACGCCUGAACCCGCUGCCAUAGCUGUAGGAACUGUUGCAAUGCCACCAUAGUUAUGUUGGGACCAAGGCAAGCUGCCCAGGACCCGUCCAUCCCCACCUGGCCAAGCAUACACGUCUGCCUGAUCCGGCGCAGCACCAAGUCAUAUACCGCCGGCGCAAGCUCCUGGAUCCUCAUCCCGUCAAGCCAUCGAUCUUCCCAAAAUAAGGUAUUCAGCCCGUUGCUUGCCCUGCACCUAGUAGCCGCUUGAAAGAUUUGCAUCGCCUCAGAUGGAACUUUGAUUUUGAAUUCACUCAAAGGUCUACUCCUAUCCGUCCUUUGCAACCAUGGCCAUUUGGCCUGCAUGGCCAUGUUCAUCCACCUCAAGUUAGGCACACCUAGCCCUCCUGCCCAUUUUGGGGUACAAACGGUCUCCCAAGCGACCGCACAGUUUCCUCCAUUAGCUUCCGCUCUCCGGCACCAAAGAAAACCUCGACAAAUCUUGUUCAUGGCCGUCAGGGUUUUGGCAGGAAGGUCCAAAGCCAUCAUCGCAUGGAUGGGCAUUGCACACAGUACCGAAAGCCUAACAAACCAUAGUAUCUCCAAAACUGUGGUAUUUUUGUAGUAUUUGUAAAAGAGGUCGGGACCUCUUUUUUUAAAACUGAGAAACGCUAGUUCAUUGGUCUCUCUGAGUCCAACAUCUUAUGACCAAUACUUGCUAGACCAUAGAUCUAUCUGGCCAGAGGUGUGCGUACACGUACGGAUGACUUACCGCCGGCCGUAAACAUGUGCACGUGGAGGCGAUUCUUAUAGGGGUGUGUUGCUUCUGAUCACUUCUAGACGCACGAGCUGCACCUUCAGUGCCUGUCACAACGCUACGUCUUUGAUGGAUCACAAGAGAUAACUGACUAUGUAUCCUAGAAUCUAAAGAGAACGUGCUCAUGCCCAGCAUACAUAGGGCGGCCGUAAGCAGGAGUUGAUUCUGCCGUGAGUGCAGCUCACUUAGGUUCGAUCGGCUAUAGGUAUCGUUAAGAUUAUCCAUGCAACGAGACAACACUCAUUCAAAAUAAGAGAAACUUAAUAAAACAGCCAUUUGCCAAACGCCUCCACAGUUUUACCAAAACUAAGAAAAAACUACGUUUUUAGAAACUAAAGUAUUUAUGGCCCACAUAUUAAAAUACUGAGGUUUUAAAAUACUAUUGUUUUGCAAAAACUGCGUUGCCAAACUAAUAUGCAGUUUCUGAUCUGAACGAGUUCAAAACUUGUGCAAGUCGCAGCUGAGAGAAUAGAAUGUUAUCAGUCUACAGGAAUGUUCGAGACUUGAAGUCUCUGUGUUUGUACUUCAUAGCAUGGUGAUGUCCCUUCUGCUAGUGUUUAUUACGAUGGUUCAUAUAGUAAGUUGAUGCAAGAUGCAAAAUUUAUUUAGUACACUGUACACAGAUAUAGGUUGCAUCUGUAUUUUUAUUAAUAAACUCCUGUUGAAAUUUUUUUGUAUUCAGAUUAUUAGCUAGCCCCACAUCUAUAUGUAAAUCAAUGUGUAAGUAAUAUUUGUGAGCAUGUAUCACAAUACCUAAUUUAGACACACCCAAAUUUAGCCAGGUGCGAAUUAUUUUCUUUUAACUACAGUAUCUACAUGGUUUUUUUAGGGGGUACCUCGUGUCUUACUUAGUAUGUUCUUUUGAGGUUUAUGUUACUCAAUCGACAUAUAACAUUUUGUUCAUAGGAAAACAAGGAUCGAAAGUGAUUGUUAGAUGUAGGCUAGUACUCUCCCUUUCUACAUACAGAGCUAGUAAUGUCAUGACCCUCAACCUUUCUUUGCCUCCUCCAUAACUUUCUGCUCUAUUGAUAUUCUCUAUCAUAAGUUACUAAUCUCAUUCAAUUGUUGUUCUUGAUUGCCAAGAUAAAUUCAAGAUGCAUGGAUGUUGAUUGCAAGGUCAAGAAUGGCUAUUUUACCAGAUAAUUAGAAUGUCAUUUUCAAGUGUAAUGUUUCAAUCACUAUAGUUGAUUGAAUGAUCAAGAUUUAGGCUUGUAGUAGAUGGUUUCACAUAUGUAAUAUUUGUAUCGUGUUCUUUGUAAUGCAAUACAUUCUUUUUAAUAUAUUAUGAGGAUUCCUACU